rnacentral:rRNA from 1 species
CUAUCUACAGGCUUAACACAUGCAAGUCGAGGGGCAGCAUGGUCUUAGCUUGCUAAGGCCGAUGGCGACCGGCGCACGGGUGAGUAACACGUAUCCAACCUGCCGUCUACUCUUGGACAGCCUUCUGAAAGGAAGAUUAAUACAAGAUGGCAUCAUGAGUCCACAUGUUCACAUGAUUAAAGGUAUUCCGGUAGACGAUGGGGAUGCGUUCCAUUAGAUAGUAGGCGGGGUAACGGCCCACCUAGUCUUCGAUGGAUAGGGGUUCUGAGAGGAAGGUCCCCCACAUUGGAACUGAGACACGGUCCAAACUCCUACGGGAGGCAGCAGUGAGGAAUAUUGGUCAAUGGGCGAGAGCCUGAACCAGCCAAGUAGCGUGAAGGAUGACUGCCCUAUGGGUUGUAAACUUCUUUUAUAAAGGAAUAAAGUCGGGUAUGCAUACCCGUUUGCAUGUACUUUAUGAAUAAGGAUCGGCUAACUCCGUGCCAGCAGCCGCGGUAAUACGGAGGAUCCGAGCGUUAUCCGGAUUUAUUGGGUUUAAAGGGAGCGUAGAUGGAUGUUUAAGUCAGUUGUGAAAGUUUGCGGCUCAACCGUAAAAUUGCAGUUGAUACUGGAUAUCUUGAGUGCAGUUGAGGCAGGCGGAAUUCGUGGUGUAGCGGUGAAAUGCUUAGAUAUCACGAAGAACUCCGAUUGCGAAGGCAGCCUGCUAAGCUGCAACUGACAUUGAGGCUCGAAAGUGUGGGUAUCAAACAGGAUUAGAUACCCUGGUAGUCCACACGGUAAACGAUGAAUACUCGCUGUUUGCGAUAUACUGCAAGCGGCCAAGCGAAAGCGUUAAGUAUUCCACCUGGGGAGUACGCCGGCAACGGUGAAACUCAAAGGAAUUGACGGGGGCCCGCACAAGCGGAGGAACAUGUGGUUUAAUUCGAUGAUACGCGAGGAACCUUACCCGGGCUUAAAUUGCAGAUGAAUUACGGUGAAAGCCGUAAGCCGCAAGGCAUCUGUGAAGGUGCUGCAUGGUUGUCGUCAGCUCGUGCCGUGAGGUGUCGGCUUAAGUGCCAUAACGAGCGCAACCCUUGUUGUCAGUUACUAACAGGUUCUGCUGAGGACUCUGACAAGACCGCCAUCGUAAGAUGUGAGGAAGGUGGGGAUGACGUCAAAUCAGCACGGCCCUUACGUCCGGGGCUACACACGUGUUACAAUGGGGGGUACAGAGGGCCGCUACCACGCGAGUGGAUGCCAAUCCCAAAAACCUCUCUCAGUUCGGACUGGAGUCUGCAACCCGACUCCACGAAGCUGGAUUCGCUAGUAAUCGCGCAUCAGCCACGGCGCGGUGAAUACGUUCCCGGGCCUUGUACACACCGCCCGUCAAGCCAUGGGAGCCGGGGGUACCUGAAGUGCGUAACCGCGAGGAGCGCCCUAGGGUAAAACUGGUGACUGGGGCU